GAUGAAGAACGUAGCGAAAUGCGAUAAGUAAUGUGAAUUGCAGAAUUCAGUGAAUCAUCGAAUCUUUGAACGCUCAUUGCGCCCCUUGGUAUUCCGAGGGGCAUGCCUGUUCGAGCGUCAUUUUGACCACUCCCGCUUGCGGGGUCUUGGGCCUUCGCCUCUGGGCGGGCCUUAAAAUCAGUGGCGGUGCCGUCCGGCUCUAAGCGUAGUAAAUCUCCUCGCUAUAGGGUUCCGGAGGGAUGCUGGCCAACAACCCCCAACUUUUAAGGUUGACCUCGGAUCAGGUAGGGAUACCCGCUGAACUUAAGCAUAUCAAUAAGCGGAGGA
rnacentral:misc_RNA from 1 species